AACGAACGCUGGCGGCAUGCUUAACACAUGCAAGUCGAACGGAACGGCCCUGCUUUUGUGCGCUGCUCGAGUGAAGACCGGGUAAGUAACACGUGAGUACCCUGCCCUUGCCUUUGGGAGAACUUCAGGACACUGGGGCUAAUACCGCAUAGGAGCUCCUGCUGCAUGGUGGGCGUUGGUAAGUUUCGGUGGUUGGGGAUGGACUCGCGCCUUAUCAGCUUGUUGGUGUGGUAGUGUCUUACCAAGGCUUUGACGCGUAGCCGGGCUGCGAGGGGGAGCGGCUCAGUUGGGCCGGGGAUGCGGCCCAGACCCCAACGGGAGGCAGCGGUGGGGAAGAUUGCACAAUGGGCGGAAGCCUGAUGUAGUAACGCCGCGUCCGGGAUGACGGCCUUCGGUUUGUAAACCGCUUUCGCCUGUGACGAAGCGUGAGUGACGGUAAUGGGUAAAGAAGCACCAGCUAACUACGUG
rnacentral:rRNA from 1 species